rnacentral:rRNA from 1 species
UAUGUAGGGGGCAAGCGUUGUCCGGAUUUAUUGGGCGUAAAGAGCGCGUAGGCGGUUAGGUAAGUCCGUUGUGAAAACUCGAGGCUCAACCUCGAGACGCCGAUGGAAACCAUCUGACUAGAGUCCGGAAGAGGAGAGUGGAAUUCCUGGUGUAGCGGUGAAAUGCGCAGAUAUCAGGAAGAACAGCCGUGGCGAAGGCGGCUCUCUAGUACGUGACUGACGCUGAGACGCGAAAGCGUGGGGAGCAAACAGG